GACGAACGCUGGCGGCGUGCCUAAUACAUGCAAGUAGAACGCUGAAGGAGGAGCUUGCUUCUCUGGAUGAGUUGCGAACGGGUGAGUAACGCGUAGGUAACCUGCCUGGUAGCGGGGGAUAACUAUUGGAAACGAUAGCUAAUACCGCAUAAUAGCAGUUAUUGCAUGAUAACUGUUUGAAAGGUGCAAUUGCACCACUACCAGAUGGACCUGCGUUGUAUUAGCUAGUUGGUGGGGUAACGGCUCACCAAGGCGACGAUACAUAGCCGACCUGAGAGGGUGAUCGGCCACACUGGGACUGAGACACGGCCCAGACUCCUACGGGAGGCAGCAGUAGGGAAUCUUCGGCAAUGGACGGAAGUCUGACCGAGCAACGCCGCGUGAGGGAAGAAGGUUUUCGGAUCGUAAAGCUCUGUUGUAAGAGAAGAACGAGUGUGAGAGUGGAAAGUUCACACUGUGACGGUAUCUUACCAGAAAGGGACGGCUAACUACGUG
rnacentral:rRNA from 1 species